UUUCUGAGCAGCAGUAUGAAUCUAGUGCAGAUACUGAAAAUUUUCUUCUUUCAGGGUCAUGAUCCUAAAGAACCAGAACAAUUGAGAAAACUGUUUAUUGGUGGCUUGAGCUUUGAAACAACAGACGACAGCCUAAGAGACCACUUCGAAAAAUGGGGCGCACUCACAGAUUGUGUGGUGAUGAGAGACCCACAGACAAAACGCUCUCGAGGCUUUGGUUUUGUGACCUAUUCUUGUGUGGAAGAAGUAGAUGCUGCAAUGGCAGCUCGACCACAUAAAGUUGACGGCCGUGUGGUAGAGCCAAAGAGAGCAGUUUCUAGAGAAGAUUCUGUGAAACCAGGUGCUCAUUUAACAGUAAAGAAAAUAUUCGUUGGUGGAAUUAAAGAAGAUACAGAAGAAUAUAAUUUAAGAGAUUAUUUUGAAAAAUAUGGCAAAAUUGAAACCAUUGAAGUAAUGGAAGACAGGCAGAGUGGAAAGAAAAGAGGUUUUGCCUUUGUGACAUUUGAUGAUCAUGAUACAGUAGACAAAAUUGUUGUUCAGAAAUAUCACACUAUAAAUGGACAUAACUGUGAAGUGAAGAAAGCUCUCUCCAAGCAAGAAAUGCAGACUGCAACUGCACAAAGAAGUCGUGGGAGUAGUUCAAGCAACUUCAUGGGUCGUGGAAACUUUGGAGGCAGUGGUGGAAGUUACAACAGAGGUGGAAGUUUUGGUAGUAGAGGAAGCUACGGUAGUGGAGGUGGUGGCAGCAGUAGAGGAAGCUUUGGCAGUGGCGAUGGAUAUAAUGGCUUUGGUGAUGGUGGAAACUAUGGUGGUAGCCCUGGAUAUGGUAGUCGAGGUGGUUAUGGUGGUAGCCCAAGCUAUGGAAAUCCAGGUGGUGGAUAUGGCGGAGGAGGUGGAGGCUAUGAUGGUUAUAAUGAAGGAGGAAGCUUUGGAGGCAACUAUGGUGGCAGUGGAAGCUACAAUGAUUUUGGCAACUACAGUGGACAGCAGGCCUCAAGUUAUGGACCCAUGAAAGGAAGUGGCAGUUUCAGUGGCAGAAGUUCAGGCAGUCCCUAUGGUGGUAGCUAUGGAUCAGGUGGAGGAAGUGGUGGCUAUGGUGGAAGAAGAUUCUAAAAACUAGUGGGAUAAUGAUUGUUGAAGAAACCUCUGUGACCAGAGGUGGAUAUCUUACUGGAAAACUUGCUUGGUAAGAAUGUGUACAACACUGAUGUUUCUUUUAUUGUAUUCUGAGCUCUGAAAAUUAGAGUUUUGGAGAAAACAACAAACUGGGAAAAUGUGAAAUAUAUUGAAUAUUUAUUACUGUAUUCAAAUCAAUGUGGAUGGGCUUAUUAAAUCAUCUAAUUGGCAUUUAGGUCUAAAAUUCUACCAUCCACGGUACUUCAGACAGCUGUUAUAGAGGUGAGUGGCUUAACAAUUAGACCUUGCUGGAGAUGAAGCUUAACUUAGGAUUUUGAAGUUUUGGAGACCAUAUCUAGGUGGGGUGGGGGGUGGGGGUCAAAUAUCCACCAAUUAAUGAGAAGUAACAUUUUUAAAAAAUUCUGUCUUCAGCUAAAUUCGUGACUUGUGAAUGGCUCAAAAAAUUAUAGUGGUCUCCAGUAGGGUUCGGCAUCUUCUAUACAGUAGGUGUUAGUUAUAAUAGACAAUUUGCACGCAACAUCAAGUAUCAACAUGAAUGAAAUGGGAGAGAGGGUAAGAACUACUCUGAGCUUGAAACAAAACAUUUUCAAUACGUUGAGAUUUUUUUUCCCUGAUGAAACACCACCUUUUUUAGCAUAGGAAAAAUGGGCACUCUUUGAAUCAAGCUUUAUUACCCUGCUUGCCUAGAACAAAAAGUUAACUAGCAGAAUAUGGAAAUCAAUGGAACAAAUUAUUUUAUUUUACUUUUGGGAACUCUUAAGAACAGUGGUUGGUUGCUUUUUGCUGUUUGCAUGCUCCUGGCAUAUAGUUUCUUAAUGUUGUUACCAAAAUAUGUCGGGCAUCAUUGUAUUGUGGAAGGAUAAUUUCCCAGUGAUUUUGGUAAGAAAGGUAUAUGAUACAUUACAGAUCAUUGAACAUACCCAAUUACGUACAUAGGCAAAUAAAAAAAGCACUUUUCAUACAACUGAAAAUCCUGAUUUUAUGUGUGAUUUUUCAGUUAGAAAAGUAGCCAAUAAUAAAGCAUUGCUGGAUUCCUAUUGGUAAUGUUUCUAAUUACCAAAUUGCAGGCAAGAAAAUCAGUAACAUUCUCACCUGGAAUACUUGAUGUGCCCUCUAAAUUAAUUUUCAGGGUUGAGGCUAAAAAUGGGGAAUCUCAGCAAUCCCCAGCAAGAUGGAAAUGGGGAUGACUAAUCCUGAAGAAACAUUCGUCUGUUUCCAUAAAUUGACAUUUUUGAUUCUUCAAUGGAACAUGCAUACAACUGAUAGCUAUGAGAGCAAAAAUUGAAGCAUGUAAUAAACAAAUGCUUGUAAUAAAACACAGUUAAUCAUGAUAGUUGAUGAAUUUCAAUUCUAGUUCUGGACCAUCAUUUAUUUCUGUAUUAAGCAACUGAGUUGCAUGAUUUCUUCUAAAUUGUUACGACACAAACUUGAAGCCACUUAGAGAUGUUGGAUUCACAUUGGUCAUUUAGUUCCACAUGAAACAACAGGUUCUGUGCAAAUGUUUGGCUCUAGCCUAGGAGAUACCUCUCAGAGCUUAAGGACACAUCCUGCUAGAACAAAACUUGAGGGCAUGUUUACAGGAACAAGCACACUCACACAUUUCUGACUGAUGUGGAUUAGUAAUUUAUGUUGAUAUGUCAUUGUCCUAUGAAUUAUCUGAGAAUGAAAAAUACUAAGAUUUGUAUCACUAUUUUCCAAUGUUGUUUAAUUCGGAAACAUGAGUAAUUUUACAAUGGCAUAUUUUCAAUUUCACUGUAAAACAGUAAGCGGAUGGUUUGUAGGCAAGGGAACAAAACAGUGCCCUACCCAGGCUUUUUUUCUUAUGCAAGUCUAAAAAGAAAAGCAUGAGAUAUAAAAAGCUGAAGACCCUGAACCACAUCACUGACUUCCUUAAAACUACAGUGAAAACCCAUGAGGAUUAUAAUCAUUUCAGUGCUAUUUCAAAUAAGGUAAUAUGUUUCUUCUACCACAUAAAAGUGUGGUAUCUUGUUCAAUAAAGUUCACAAAAAUGCUAAUUUUUCUUAAUGGUAGAAAUGUAAAACAGUACUAGAUUUAAGAUGUU